rnacentral:rRNA from 1 species
GACGAACGCUGGCGGCGUGCUUAACACAUGCAAGUCGAACGGAAAGGCCCUGCUUUUGUUGGUUGCUCGAGUGGCGAACGGGUGAGUAACACGUGAGUAACCUGCCCUUGACUUUGGGAUAACUUCAGGAAACUGGGGCUCAUACCGGAUAUGAUCUCCUGCUGCAUGGUGUGGGUUGGAAAGUUUCGGCGGUUGGGGAUGGACUCGCGGCUUAUCAGCUUGUUGGUGGGGUAGUGGCUUACCAAGGCUUUGACGGGUAGCCGGCCUGAGAGGGUUACCGGCCACAUUGGGACUGAGAGACGGCCCAGAAUCCUACGGGAGGCAGCAGUGGGGAAUAUUGCACAAUGGGCGGAAGCCUGAUGCAGCAACGCCGCGUGCGGGAUGACGGCCUUCGGGUUGUAAACCGCUUUCGCCUGUGACGAAGCGUGAGUGACGGUAAUGGGUAAAGAAGCACCGGCUAACUACGUG